rnacentral:rRNA from 1 species
CCUACGGGUGGCUGCAGGCGCGAAAACUUUACCAUGCGGGCAACCGUGAUAAGGAAACCCCGAGUGCCAGCAGAGGCUGGCUGUCCAUCAGUGUAAAUAACUGGUGAAGAAAGGGCCGGGCAAGACCGGUGCCAGCCGCCGCGGUAAUACCGGCGGCUCGAGUGGUGGCCGCUAUUACUGGGCUUAAAGGGUCCGUAGCUGGAUAUACAAGUCCCUUGAGAAAUCCGCCGGCUUAACCGGUGGGCGUUCAGGGGAAACUGUAUUUCUAGGGACCGGGAGAGGUGAGAGGUACUGCCGGGGUAGGAGUGAAAUCCUGUAAUCCCGGUGGGACCACCUAUGGCGAAGGCAUCUCACCAGAACGGGUCCGACAGUGAGGGACGAAAGCUGGGGGAGCAAACCGGAUUAGAUACCCGGGUAGUC